CUAGUUUCACAUUGAAGCAUUCGACCGCUGGCCUCUUCUCGUUAAAUAGGGAUUCACUGGAAACAGCUUUUGGAGUGUACAUCGUUUAGAGUUGACUUUACUGGGUGAUGGCUGGACUAAGACCUUGUCAACUCUGCUCUGCUUGUCAUUCUUUCGAAGUCGCCUUCAGAAAAAUCUACGGUUCUUCGGAUUGUUCUUCGGCCGUUAUUUCUAUUAUUAUCCUUGCUAUUGUUAUAGGUUCAUGCAAUCAAUCUAAGCAUCAAUGUACUGGAACCCAAUGGCUUUCCACAAUCUACGGUUCCUCGGAUUGUUCUUCGGCUGUUAUUUCUAUUAUGAUCCUUGCUAUUGUUAUAGGUUCUUGCAAUCAAUCUAAGCAUGAAUGUACUGGAACCCAAUGGCUUUCCACGAAAUCAUGAUUUAUUAGCAAAGUUUAAAUCAAAAAAAUUGGGGAAUUAAUUAAACCUUUCAGUUGUAGAGAGUCUUUAUCCAUUUUUGGGGAUUUUUUAAGACUUCUACUUCCAUAAGCUUUAUUUUUAGAUGCAUUACGAUUUGAUCUUAAAAAGAUUAAUUGUAUCACAUGUGUGAUUUUGGUAAUAAUUAAUUCACAUACUUAUAAAAAGAGAAUCAAUGUUUCGAAUUAUAUCUGACAACAAUAAUAUUGGAUUUUCUAAUUUUAAAGUAUUAUUAUUAGCUGACAGUUAACAUGAUUAUUAGUCGUGAUUCUGUGGUAUAUUUUUUGAUAUAUAGUCGGUGAAUACAAUAUGUUGCAAAUAUUUGAAUUUUAUAUAAACAUAUGCAAAAUUGCGGCAAGCAUCAAGCUCAAUUUAGUAAAACUCAUUAUCUUGCUUUUAGUUUACAUCAUCGAAUUAACCGACGUUUUUUUUUUGUUGCUAAGAUUUGGAAUUAACCGACGUUAAGAGACAUAAAACCGUUGAUACUCUAUAAAGAAAAACCAAUAAAGCCAAACACUGCGCAGUUGAAAACGAUGGCUUCGACUGGUGACAUGUAGUAUUAGAGUUGAGUUACAAUAAAAUGUACGAUUUGAUGUAGUUUGCAGUAAAAACUAUGUGGUAUAAACUGUAGAUUUAUGUAGUGAGUUCGCAGUAAAAAUAUGAGUUACUAUUUUAUCAAUAUUAUUGAUUGGUAACAUUUUUGAUGUAUAAGUUGCAGUAUAUAUUAUUUUUUAAAAUAUAAAUAAUAUUUUAAUAAUAAUAGUGAAAAAAUAAAAUUCAUAAAUCAAAAUUAACUAAGGAUGUCAAAAAUUUAUGUACAUAAAUUUUUAAUUACCAAACAAUAUUAAAAAAAUAAAAUUAAUUGAACAUUUUAAUUGACUAUUUAAGUGAAACUUAUACAAAUAUUUUAUUUACAUAAAUUUAUAAUCACCACCGGACGACUUACCGAAUAGUUGGAUCACUGGAUCGACCGGGGGUGAACCGCGGAUUAAUAAAUAAAUAAAUUUUAUUAUAUAAUAAUAUAUUAGCUAUGAAAAUAAAUAUCUAAAAAUUAAAGUUUAAUAUUUUCUAAAUAUUUUUUAAAACAUAAAUAAUAGUUUGGAUAUGUAUAUAUUUUAUGUUUAAAAAGUAUUUAGAAAAUACUUAACUUUAGUUUUUAUAUAUUUAUUUUCAUUUGACAUACAAAAUAUCAAAAAAAAAAAUAGACUAUUUAAAAUUUUCGGUAAUAAAGUAAGAGCUAUGACAUCUAAAAAGAAUCAAGAUAUAAAAUUCAUAAAUAUUUAAAUGUCUAAUGUGAAUAAUAAAUUAAACUUCAAAUUCAAAAUAAACCAAAAAUAAAAGAUCAUUGUAAUAAAUUGUCAAUAACGGAAAUAAACUAACACCAAAUCACAUCAACUAAUUUUGGUUCUUUUUACCAUCGUUCACUUCAUUUUCUUCAGGUGACAUAGUGAAAUCUUCAUCAAAAUCUAAAAAUAACUAAUAUAAAACUGAAAAGGGAAACCUAACUUCUUCUUAAUUUUUUGUCAGCACCUAACUUCUUAAUUGAAAACUUAGAAUAUAAAACAUAAUCUAAAAACUAAAGAAGAAGAAGUAAAAUUUAUUUAUUGGUCCAACCGGUAUCCGGUUCCGGGUUUUAGUGGGUUAUUGCGGAUUUCUGAAUAUUGGGUUUUUCACAAAACUCAAACCAGAUGUUUUCUGGGUCACCGGUUUUACCGGUUCCAUCGCGGGUCCGGGUCAGGUUUCAAAACAAUGAUUAUAAUGAUUAAACACAUAUUAUUUGUAUAUUCCUGAUCAUUUGCAUGAACUUUAAACAAAAAUAUAUAUUACUCCAUCCGUUUCACAAAGAUAGAUUUUCUAGCGCUUUCGCACAUGUUAAGAAAACACAUUAAAUCACUAUAUUAAAUAUAUCAUUUUUUACAAUUUUCAAUUGUCAAUAACUUUUAACCAAUAGUAAUUCAAUAAAAUCAAUUAAUUUUCUUGAAGUUUACAAUUUUUUCAUAAAAAACACAAAAAUAUAUAUCCUUAAAACAAACUUCUUUUCUAAAACAUCUAUCUUUUUUUAAACGGAUGGAGUAUUAUUUUCAGCAACUAAAGAUCAAAUAUCAUUAGAGGGCCUUAAACAGAAGGCCCCUGAAAGUUUUGGUGAAUAUAUACGCAAAACUUGGCUAAACUAUCUGCCAACUCAUUUAAAGAACAACAGCAAUAGGAAAAACAAUAAAAAGAAAGAAAAAAGAGGAAAGCGAAGAGAUGUCCGAGAUAACUCCUUGAAGUUCAAUCGAUCCACCAUUCGCGUUGAUAGCUCUCACGAGCUCUUGAGCAUCUUAACGAAACCAGAUCUUAGUGUAGCCAAGGGUUGAGGCAUGGAUCAAUGCCUCUCUAAUUGCAAAUUCCGACAUGCAAACGAACCCUUAUAAGAAUAUUUAGCGCAACUUUAGAAUAUACAUAUAUACGAGUAUGAGUAUACAACUGAUGUUUCAGUAACAUACAUCAUGGAUAUUUGAUCUUUAUAUAAAUAUUUGAUGAACGAAAGAACCUUAAUCCAACAAUUAUCUAGAGACAUGUGAGAGAAUAUUCUCUUUUUUCUCUCUUUCCCGAAAAAACGUUUUUUGUCGAAAAUCUAUUGAUCUGCAUUUAGUGGCUGGCGGCGGUUCUCUUACCGUCGGUCGCCACCCUUCAUUGUUCUCAUGUCUGUUAUUCAAACAUGUUUUGUUCCAGUUUUACAACUCCCUCUUUCCUCUUCAUCUUUAGUUUUGUGUUGGAUUGCGGUCUGAUCCAGUAAAUCAAACCAGAUGUUAGAUGUGUAACUCAAACUCUUCGGAGUGACAGCAAAGUCGUGGUUAGUCGACUGCCUGCAAGAAGCACCUUUUGCAGGUAAAUCUAGAUUUCAACUUUGCUAGAUCUGGGUCAGAUCUAUCUUGAAAGGUUUGCCAAAGUCGUUGUGCAUCGUUGCCGUAGCUUCUCUGGCCAAUAAACUGACUCCUCUGUUUCCUUUGUCUAUGCUCUAUAAGAAUUUUUCCGUUUAGAUUCUACGAUCUGAGACAAAAAGCGACGUUGAGGACAUUGCCGAGGACUUCCUUUUCGUUCUGAUUUCACAACAGCUACCAUGGCCUUUUGUUUGAUUACAUAUCUAUUAUAGUGCUUUGGCUUGUUAAAGGGUUUUAUGUUGUUUCCGUCCAUUUCUUCUUCACUACAGAACUGGAUCCUUUCAGACCUAGUGCAUGUUGAUGGGAGUCUCAGUCUCUUCAGUUUCUAAUAUUCCUAGAAGAGUGGUGGCUACCACCGUUUCUUGCCAUUUCAACGUUCUGAAACCGGAAUCUUUUUGUGCUUUGCUCGCGAAAAGAGACCGAGUCGAGCCAUUAACCCUCUGCUUACUUCUGCUAGUUUCACAUUGAAGCAUUCGACCGCUGGCCUCUUCUCGUUAAAUAGGGAUUCACUGGAAACAGCUUUUGGAGUGUACAUCGUUUAGAGUUGACUUUACUGGGUGAUGGCUGGACUAAGACCUUGUCAACUCUGCUCUGCUUGUCAUUCUUUCGAAGUCGCCUUCAGAAAAAUCUACGGUUCUUCGGAUUGUUCUUCGGCCGUUAUUUCUAUUAUUAUCCUUGCUAUUGUUAUAGGUUCAUGC
rnacentral:lncRNA from 1 species